rnacentral:rRNA from 1 species
AGGAUCAUUAUCGAAAAGCAAUCUGGGGGGAAGGCGAGCGAGGCAAGUUCUGGUAGAUCGUAGGGAUUGUCGCUGGCCUUUGGAAAACGAAGGCAUGUGCACGUUCCGAGUUCUCCUUGGACCUCGUCUUUCCUUUCCUUUGGACGACCUUUUUUCACACCUGUGCACCCAUUGUAGGUCCCGCAAGGGAUCUAUGUCUUUAUCUACCCCAAACGUAUGUCCAGAAUGUCAUUAAUACAUGUCGAUCGGUCUGGCUAACGCCUCGUCGGCGACGGUAUAUAAAAAAUAAUAAUACAACUUUCAGCAACGGAUCUCUUGGCUCUCGCAUCGAUGAAGAACGCAGCGAAUUGCGAUACGUAAUGUGAAUUGCAGAUUUUCAGUGAAUCAUCGAAUCUUUGAACGCACCUUGCGCUCCUUGGUAUUCCGAGGAGCAUGCCUGUUUGAGUGUCAUUGAAUUCUCAACCAUCUUUCGAUUGAUUUCGAAGGGUGGCUUGGAUUUUGGGAGUUGCCGGCUGACCCUUUUUGGGGACGGGUCGGCUCUCCUUAAAAGCAUUAGCGAAAGGUGACAAGCCCUGCAUGCAUGGCCUUCGACGUGAUAAUGAUCGUCGUGGCUGGAGUGCGAGGCAAUAUACGUCCCCUUUGCUUCU